UACGUAGGGUGCAAGCGUUAAUCGGAAUUACUGGGCGUAAAGCGUGCGCAGGCGGUUUUGUAAGUCUGUCGUGAAAUCCUCGGGCUCAACCUGAGAAUUGCGAUGGAGACUGCAAGGCUAGAAUCUGGCAGAGGGGGGUAGAAUUCCACGUGUAGCAGUGAAAUGCGUAGAGAUGUGGAGGAACACCGAUGGCGAAGGGCAGCCCCCUGGGUCAAGAU
rnacentral:rRNA from 1 species